rnacentral:lncRNA from 1 species
AGAUGAGCACCUCUUUAACGGUAAGAGGUAAUUUUCGCAUUUUGUUUCGCAUUAUUGAACUAUGAAUGGUUUUUCAUAGUGCGUUUGUCCAAAUAAUAUUCAUCACAUGUUGUUCUGAUAGUUUUAUACUUCUGCAAAGUAUUAUCGUUUUGUUCAUGUUGUUCUAUCUUUUCACAGUUCAUGGGAUCCCAUUUUUGAGGUGAAAAAGUUCCAAAAUGGGAAUAAAGAUGGUGCUCCGAAGAUAUUGGCGCUAGGAUUUGUGAUGUAUUCCUCCUCAAUUACACAUACAUUGCCACCUUUUACAACAAAACUUCAGAGGCUCAUUUGUAACUUGAAGGUAGUCUUUUUCGGAAACUUGACAAAAUUUCUGUUCAAGAUUAUGUUUUAAUCACGCAUCAAAGUGAAACUUUCAGUCUUUUGCAUAGAUUGUUCUAACAUGGAGAGGUUACUACUCAAGCUGAUAUUGAAAUCUAAUCAGUGGAAUGAGGUAUUUUAUGCAAAGACUACUCUUUUUGCCCCUGAUUUUUGGUAGUCGUGAUCGUGACCUAUUUGACAAUGUUGAACAUAAGUUUGCAAGGUCGUUAUUGUUGACAUAUAACUUCUCUCAGGUCUUUCUUCUUUGCUUCUUUGUCUGUGCAUGUGUUUGUUAUUGUGCUUUGUGUGAAUUGGUUUGUAAUUUGUUUCUUAACUCAACAUGCAAGGAAAACCAAAAGUGAAAACUGGUUGGAGUAAAAAAUAUAGAUUUAUACUGUGUGAAAUUGGUGGCACAAUUAUUCAAGGUGGGAGCUGGCAGUGGAAAGGCUGGACUAAAGGGGUGUUACAGGACAACACACUAGAGUAAUUUUUGUAAAUGUUUUCUUUCAAGGUUAUAGAGACAGGGGUUAGCAGAAAACACAAUAGUACAUUAAUUUUCUGUUGUUAAUUGUUUUUUGAUAUGGUUCCUUCAUUAGCAAUUUUUUAUCGAAAUUUUUUAUUAUAAAAGAAUUAUGAAAGUUUUAGGGAAAAACACUCUAUUUCCCUAUUUGCUUCUUCUCUAUAGAUACUGAAAAGGGAAAAGAAGUAUGAAGAUUCAAAUAACAAUGGCUAGGUGAAUGCUUGUAGUUUUUAUCUCUUUUGGAAGUUACACAUCUGUUAAAUAUCUAUUAGAACAUAUUGAGAAAGUAAAAAAGUUAAAACCAAAAUUCAAUUGGAGUUUCAAAUGUAAAAAUGAGAGAAAAUAAAACUUAAUUGGAAAUGAUAUCUUCCAUGUUUCUGUGGGUGUAGUUUAUGAUGCUAUCCUCAUAUGAUUGUAAAUGUAUGUUUUCUUAGAAACGAUUAUAUUGUAACAGAGCAUUAAAUUUGGGCAUUAAAGUUCAGU